rnacentral:rRNA from 1 species
GACCUCAAAUCAAGUGAGAUUACCCGCUGAAUUUAAGCAUAUUAAUAAGCGGAGGAAAAGAAACUAACAAGGAUUCCCUUAGUAACGGCGAGUGAAGCGGGAAGAGCCCAAAUUUAAAAUCAACCAGUAAUGGUAGAAUUGUAGUUUUUGGAUAUGUAAUCGAGAUAUCAAUAUAGAUGAAAAUCCCUUGGAAAGGGGUAUCAAAGAAGGUGAUAAUCCUGUAAAUCAUUUAUAAUUGAGAUUUCAUAUGUUUAUAUAUCUUAGAGUCGGGUUGUUUGGGAAUGCAAUCUUAAAUGGGUGGUAUAUCUCAUCUAAGGCUAAAUAUUGACAGGAGACCGAUAGCAAACAAGUACCGUGAGGGAAAGGUGAAAAGAACUUUGAAAAGAGAGUGAAAAGUACUUGAAAUUGUUAACAGGGAAACGCUUUAAUCCUUUAUUCUUUAUUUUUGAAUCAUCUUUAAUAUUUAUAUUAUGGUGCACUUUGGAAAUAAAGGCUCAACAUCAGUUAUAUUCAUUCGAAAAGUAUUAUACAACGGUAGUGUUCAACAUUCGUGUUGCCCAUGAAAUGUAUGGUAGAUAGGAUGAAUAUGACUGGCAAGUCAAACUUAUGCCUCAAGGCUGUGAAGUUGGUGUUAUAGGUAGUAUAGUUGGUAGACUACAAAGUAGUGUAUUGAUUAUGAUAUUUAUAAUAAUUGACUAACAAAAUAAGUUCAUGAAUGUUGUGAAAAAGGGUUAAAUCGACCCGUCUUGAAACACGGACCAAGGAGUCUAACAUGCAUACAAGUCUAAUAGUGUUAAAACUUUUAGGCGUAAUGAAAGUAAGAUGGUAAGAUCAUCAUUAAUAUGAUGUGCAUUAUCGAACAAUCCGGAUCCAUUGAGUGAAGGAAUUGAUUAGGAGUAUGUAUGAUAGGACCCGAAAGAUGGUGAACUAUACUUGAGUAGAAUGAAGUCAGAGGAAACUCUGAUGGAGGUUCGAAGGGGUUCUGACGUGCAAAUCGAUCUUCAAACUUGAGUAUAGGGGCGAAAGACUAAUCGA